UACGGAGGGUGCAAGCGUUAUCCGGAUUCACUGGGUUUAAAGGGAGCGUAGGAGGGCAGGUAAGUCAGUGGUGAAAUCUCUGGGCUUAACCCAGAAACUGCCGUUGAUACUAUUUGUCUUGAAUAUCCUGGAGGUAGGCGGAAUAUGUCAUGUAGCGGUGAAAUGCUUAGAUAUGACAUAGAACACCGAUAGCGAAGGCAGCUUACUACAGGAUGAUUGACGCUGAGGCACGAAAGCGUGGGGAGCAAACAGG
rnacentral:rRNA from 1 species